AUUGAACGCUGGCGGAAUGCUUUACACAUGCAAGUCGAGCGGCAGCACGGGGGCAACCCUGGUGGCGAGCGGCGAACGGGUGAGUAACACAUCGGAACAUGCCCAGUCGUGGGGGAUAACACUUCGAAAGAAGUGCUAAUACCGCAUACGUCCUGAGGGAGAAAGCGGGGGAUCGCAAGACCUCGCGCGAUUGGAGUGGCCGAUGUCAGAUUAGCUAGUUGGUGGGGUAAAGGCCUACCAAGGCAACGAUCUGUAGCUGGUCUGAGAGGAUGAUCAGCCACACUGGGACUGAGACACGGCCCAGACUCCUACGGGAGGCAGCAGUGGGGAAUUUUGGACAAUGGGGGCAACCCUGAUCCAGCAAUUCCGCGUGAGUGAAGAAGGCCUUCGGGUUGUAAAGCUCUUUCGGCAGGAACGAAACGGUGAGCUCUAACAUAGCUUGCUAAUGACGGUACCUGAAGAAGAAGCACCGGCUAACUACGUG
rnacentral:rRNA from 1 species